GAUGAAGAACGCAGCAAAAUGCGAUAAGUAAUGUGAAUUGCAGAAUUCAGUGAAUCAUCGAGUCUUUGAACGCACAUUGCGCCCCCUGGUAUUCCGGGGGGCAUGCCUGUCCGAGCGUCAUUGCUGCCCUCAAGCACGGCUUGUGUGUUGGGCCCCGUCCUCCGAUCCCGGGGGACGGGCCCGAAAGGCAGCGGCGGCACCGCGUCCGGUCCUCGAGCGUAUGGGGCUUUGUCACCCGCUCUGUAGGCCCGGCCGGCGCUUGCCGAUCAACCCAAAUUUUUUAUCCAGGUUGACCUCGGAUCAGGUAGGGAUACCCGCUGAACUUAAGCAUAUCAAUAAGCGGAGGA
rnacentral:misc_RNA from 1 species